rnacentral:lncRNA from 1 species
AUCAAUCUUGAUAGAGAGGAGUAGUCCUAUAAAAUUUGAGAGGCUAAGUCAAAGAGUCUAUGGCCACAGCAGUAUGAUUGAUGAAAAAAAAUUUCUAUAAGGAUCAUAAUUGGACUUGAGCUGAUCCAAUCUAUCAUAUGACUGAUGAUGAAGUUUGAUGAUUUAUCUAUGACCUACCAUCUAGUCGGAACUCACGAUAGAGGGACUGAAUUACAUGUUAACUACACCUUAAGAUUCUUUUCUAUUCUACUGGGUUUCCACUACAUACUGCUAGGUAUCAC